rnacentral:rRNA from 1 species
CCUACGGGAGACUGCAGUGAGGAAUAUUGGUCAAUGGACGAGAGUCUGAACCAGCCAAGUAGCGUGAAGGAUGACUGCCCUAUGGGUUGUAAACUUCUUUUAUAUGGGAAUAAAAUGUUCCACGUGUGGGAUUUUGUAUGUACCAUAUGAAUAAGGAUCGGCUAACUCCGUGCCAGCAGCCGCGGUAAUACGGAGGAUCCGAGCGUUAUCCGGAUUUAUUGGGUUUAAAGGGAGCGUAGGUGGCUUGUUAAGUCAGUGGUGAAAGUUUGCGGCUCAACCGUAAAAUUGCAGUUGAAACUGGCAGUCUUGAGUACGGUAGAGGUGGGCGGAAUUCGUGGUGUAGCGGCGAAAUGCUUAGAUAUCACGAAGAACUCCGAUUGCGAAGGCAGUUCACUAGACUACGACUGACGCUGAGGCUCGAAAGUGUGGGGAUCAAACAGGAUUAGAUACCCUUGUAGUC